rnacentral:tRNA from 3 species
UGGUGUAGCUCAAUUGGCAGAGCAGCUGAUUUGUAAUCAGCAGGUUGCGGGUUCAAGUCCCUUCACC